rnacentral:rRNA from 1 species
UCGCUCCUACCGAUUGAGUGUUCCGGUGAAUAAUUCGGACUGACACAGCGUGGGGAUCCCUCAUGUUGUAUUGGAAAGUUUAGUGAACCUUAACACUUAGAGGAAGGAG